rnacentral:rRNA from 1 species
CAGAGAUGAACGUUGGCGGCGUGGAUUAGGCAUGCAAGUCGUACGCUCCGCAAGGGGCGUGGCGCAAGGGUGAGUAAGGCGACGGCAACCAACCCCGCGGCCGGGCAUAGCCACUCGAAAGGGUGGGUAAUUCCCGGCGGUAUCCAGGAGACCGGCAUCGGUUUCUUGGGAAAGGUGAGACUCCGCCGUGGGACGGACCGUCGUGGUAUCAGCUUGUUGGCGGGGUAAUGGCCCACCAAGGCGAUGACGCCUACCGGGCGUGCGAGCGUGGCCCGGCACACUGGGACUGAGACACUGCCCAGACUCCUACGGGAGGCUGCAACAGCGAGAAUCUUCGGCAAUGGGCGCAAGCCUGACCGAGCGACGCCGCGUGGAGGACGAAGGCCUUCGGGUUGUAAACUCCUGUCGAGGGGGAACAAGGGGCCGUGCAGAGCGGUCCUUGAGUGAUUAGUGGAGGAAGCACGGGCUAAGUUCGUGCCAGCAGCCGCGGUAAGACGAACCGUGCGAACGUUAUUCGGAAUCACUGGGCUUAAAGCGCGUGUAGGCGGCCCGGCACGUCCGUCGCUGAAAUCCCCCGGCUCAACCGGGGAAGUGGCGUGGAUACGACCGGGCUGGAGGGGGGUAGGGAGCGCCGGAACUUACCGGUGGAGCGUCCGAAAUGCGUUGAGAUCGGAAGGAACGCCCGUGGCGAAAGCGGGCUCCUGGACCCCACCUGACGCUGAGACGCGAAAGCCAGGGGAGCGAACGGGAUUAGAUACCCCGGUAUCUCCUGGCCGUAAACCAUGAGCACGGGGUAGAGGGCUCGCCGAUGGGCUCUCUGCCGUAGUAGAACCGUGAAGUGCUCCGCCUGGGGAGUAUGGUCGCAAGGCUGAAUUCCUCAAAGGAACCUGACGGGGGCUCACACAAGCGGUGGAGCAUGUGGCUUAAUUCGAGGCUACGCGCAAAACCUUAUCCUGGGCUUGACAUGCACGGAUUAGCUGGCGGAAACGUCAGUGAGGCCGCUACCGGUACAACGUGCACAGGUGCCAGCAUGGCUGUCGUCAGCUCGUGUCGUGUACCUGUUGGCCUAAGUCCCGUAACGAGCGAAACCCUUGCCUCUAGUUGCCAGCGGGUCAUGCCGGGAACUCUAGAGGGACCGCCGGCGUACUAAGUACGGAGGAAGGCGGGGAUGACGUCAAGUCCUCAUGGCCCUUAUUAUAGGGCUGCUCACGUGCUACAAUGGGACGGACAAAGCGUCGCGACAGUCAAGGUCUGGCUAAUCGCAAAUUACCGUCCCUCAGUUCGGAUUGUGGGCUGCAACCCGCCCACAUGAAGCUGGUACCGCUAGUACCCGCGGAUCAGCAUGCCGCGGUGAAUGGGUUCCUGAGCCUUGUUACCCCGCCCGUCAAGCCACCAUGCGGCGGCAAUUGAAGUCUAUCC